ACGCCGGGCGCCGGCGCCUCCCGGACCCCUGCGGCGCCAUGCUGGCGGGAGCCUGCAGCGCCAGGGCCGCGGCCAGGAGCUCCCCCCACCCCGACCCCCCAAGAGCCGGGCGCUUAAAGUCGCCCAUCGGUGUAACAGCCGGGCUGCGUUACCUCCGCGGCGUCCUCGCAGAAAAGCUCGGCUCACCGCCUGAAAGGCCGAAGCUAGGAGUUUUAUGAGUUCCCUACAGUCAGCUGUGACCUGGAAGCAUAUGACCCUCCUUCCAACUCAUCAUGAGGUCAACAGUAGCUUCACGCUGCAUCACAACGCCUACGUCAUUCACCUCACUUCAUCUCAUCACUAGGCAUUUAUCACCUCAUAUUAUCACAAAAGGAAGGGUUAUACAUAAGGACUGCCAUUCUCCCUUCUGAAAGAUAAUAUCCCCAGCAUUUCACAUGUGUCAGCUCAGAAGCACAUGUCCUCUCUUCCCACCGCCCAUGGUCUUACUCGGGCUUCCAGAAACACUCGUGGAACCUCGACCAUGCUGGAUGCCCUGAUGCUGAUGCUGCCAACC